UAUUUUAAAGAGAGUUUGAUCCUGGCUCAGGACGAACGCUGGCGGCGUGCCUAAUACAUGCAAGUCGAACGAACGGAGGAAGAGCUUGCUCUUCCAAAGUUAGUGGCGGACGGGUGAGUAACACGUGGGCAACCUGCCUGUAAGUUGGGGAUAACUCCGGGAAACCGGGGCUAAUACCGAAUGAUAAGGAGUGACGCAUGUCACUGCUUUGAAAGAUGGUUUCGGCUAUCGCUUACAGAUGGGCCCGCGGUGCAUUAGCUAGUUGGUAGGGUAAAGGCCUACCAAGGCAACGAUGCAUAGCCGACCUGAGAGGGUGAUCGGCCACACUGGGACUGAGACACGGCCCAGACUCCUACGGGAGGCAGCAGUAGGGAAUCUUCCGCAAUGGACGAAAGUCUGACGGAGCAACGCCGCGUGUAUGAAGAAGGUUUUCGGAUCGUAAAGUACUGUUGUUAGAGAAGAACAAGGAUAAGAGUAACUGCUUGUCCCUUGACGGUAUCUAACCAGAAAGCCACGGC
rnacentral:rRNA from 1 species